UACGAAGGGGGCUAGCGUUGCUCGGAAUUACUGGGCGUAAAGCGCACGUAGGCGGCUUUCUAAGUCGGGGGUGAAAUCCUGGAGCUCAACUCCAGAACUGCCUUCGAUACUGGAGAGCUUGAGUCCGGGAGAGGUGAGUGGAACUGCGAGUGUAGAGGUGAAAUUCGUAGAUAUUCGCAAGAACACCAGUGGCGAAGGCGGCUGACUGGACAUGUAUUGACGCUGAGGUGCGAAAGCGUGGGGAGCAAACAGG
rnacentral:rRNA from 1 species